UAAGUGAGUUAUAGUAAAUAUUCCAGUGUUCUUUUAUCUUAAUACAGGCAAAGAAGAAAACAUCACAGCUGUACAUGGCUGAGGAUGAGCAAGGAGAGAGCCUACUUUUCUAUCUCCCUCAGAACAAGACUAUUUGGAAUGGACCUAGAGUCCCAAUGCUAUGAAGGUCAAGAAUGCAGCAUGGAUCCUAUGUGCAAUGAAGAAUAAAGCAAGAA
rnacentral:lncRNA from 12 species